rnacentral:rRNA from 1 species
GGCAGGCCUAACACAUGCAAGUCGAACGGUAACAGGAAGAAGCUUGCUUCUUUGCUGACGAGUGGCGGACGGGUGAGUAAUGUCUGGGAAACUGCCUGAUGGAGGGGAUAACUACUGGAAACGGUAGCUAAUACCGCAUAACGUCGCAAGACCAAAGAGGGGGACCUUCGGGCCUCUUGCCAUCGGAUGUGCCCAGAUGGGAUUAGCUAGUAGGUGGGGUAACGGCUCACCUAGGCGACGAUCCCUAGCUGGUCUGAGAGGAUGACCAGCCACACUGGAACUGAGACACGGUCCAGACUCCUACGGGAGGCAGCAGUGGGGAAUAUUGCACAAUGGGCGCAAGCCUGAUGCAGCCAUGCCGCGUGUAUGAAGAAGGCCUUCGGGUUGUAAAGUACUUUCAGCGGGGAGGAAGGGAGUAAAGUUAAUACCUUUGCUCAUUGACGUUACCCGCAGAAGAAGCACCGGCUAACUCCGUG